UUGUAACACAAUCAUUUCAGAGGCAUAAUGUUACACCCCAUAUGACAAGUUUUGUCUAUAAUUAAGGUCGUUUGACGUCGAUUUCAGCCAUUUCAGAGCCAGCCGAUUGACGUCGCUGUGCUCGAUGCCACUGUUGCGGCCUUCUUUGUUACCGGAUCUAAGGAAGAAGAGGAUAUAUCUCUGUUAUUAAGCACACAGGACCAUAGUGAAACUAUUGCAGCAAAGAGUGGCGCUCAAUAUCAUCUAAUUCCUCUUGUUGUUGACUCAACUUCAAUCAGCUUCAGGACAAUAGUUUUGAAACAGAAGGAAAAUUUCAAGAUGAACCAGCAUUGAUUGUCAACACUAGCAGGUACAACUGGUAAGCCAAAAGGAGUUGUCCAUACCCACAAGAGCAUCAAUUCCCAGGUUAAAAAUGUUAACUGAAGCUUGGGACUAAACAUCUACUGAUCAUAUUCUCCACUGCCUCCCACUACAUCAUGUUCAUGGGCUUUUUAACGCUUUACUUGCUCCUCUUUACGCGCCAUCUUCGUUAACUUAUACUAUCACCAAUAUAGCAAAGCUUAUAUGUAUAUGUUUAUAUUUUGGGUUCAUAUCUGAAUCGAGGGAAGUAUUCAGCGCCAGAUAACUCAAUUUUACUAUGUACCAUAGUCUUGGCUGAGUCGAUCACUUUCCAAUUUGCUUCUGGCCCUAAAGCAAACACAUUUUGCUUAAGAGAAAUUUAGCUUGAGACAUAAAAUAACCUUGGUAUAAUUCAGGGAUCUUCUAGACUCAAUCCAUCAGGGCGGCUUGAUAUGCAUUCAAUUCUAAUGAGUCCCCCUUGCCAAUAU